UACGUAGGGUGCGAGCGUUGUCCGGAAUUAUUGGGCGUAAAGAGCUCGUGGGCGGUUUGUCGCGUCGACUGUGAAAACCUACAGCUUAACUGUGGGCUUGCAGUCGAUACGGGCAGACUUGAGUUCGGUAGGGGAGACUGGAAUUCCUGGUGUAGCGGUGAAAUGCGCAGAUAUCAGGAGGAACACCGGUGGCGAAGGCGGGUCUCUGGGCCGAUACUGACGCUGAGGAGCGAAAGCGUGGGGAGCGAACAGG
rnacentral:rRNA from 1 species